rnacentral:rRNA from 1 species
GACUACUCGGGUAUCUAAGCCUGUUUGCUCCCCACGCUUUCGCGCCUCAGCGUCAGUACUGUUCCAGAAGAUCGCCUUCGCUUUUGGUAUUCCUAGUGAUCUCUACGGAUUUUACCCCUACACCACUAAUUCCAUCUUCCCCUCCCAGACUCUAGCCCAUCAGUUUUGGAUGCAGUUCUAUGGUUGAGCCAUAGGAUUUCACAUCCAACUUAAUGGGCCGCCUGCGCGCGCUUUACGCCCAGUGAUUCCGAGUAACGCUUGCACCCUCCGUAUUACCGCGGCUGCUGGCACGGAGUUAGCCGGUGCUUAUUCAUAUGGUACCGUCAUUAUCUUCCCAUAUAAAAGGAGUUUACGCACCGAAAUGUGUCAUCCUCCACGCGGCGUUGCUACAUCAGAGUUUCCUCCAUUGUGUAAUAUUCCCCACUGCAGCCCCCCGUAGG